GCUUCCUUAGCGUAGUUGGUUUAUCGCAUCCGUCUAAUAAGACAUGCCUGAUGAAAUCAUCAGAAGACAGGUCAACUCAACGGAAGGUCACUAGUUCGAGCCUAGUAGGGAGCA